CGGAGAUGUUUCGGAAAGUCAAUGUGCCUGGGCCUUGGCUGUCUUCUUUGAUAAAGCAGUCACAACUCUCUCACCUGGUUUUCAUCAUGUUGUCGGAAUAUAUUGGUUUCUUAUCUAUUCCAGUAGGAAGUCCAUCACAAAGCUUGUGUUGCAGAAGUCAUAUCCUGCUCUAAGGUCUGUCUCCCUUCCUUAAAUGGCACCUGCUUGCUCCUUAAUAUUAUUAAAGUUCUGUUUAAUAAAAAUGCUUAAGCUUA
rnacentral:lncRNA from 1 species